rnacentral:rRNA from 1 species
UACAGAGGUUGCAAACGUUGUUCGGAAUCACUGGGCAUAAAGCGCACGUAGGCGGUCUGUUAAGUCAGGUGUGAAAGCCCCCGGCUCAACUGGGGAGGGUCACUCGAUACUGAUCGACUCGAAGGCAGGAGAGGGAAGUGGAAUUCCCGGUGUAGUGGUGAAAUGCGUAGAUAUCGGGAGGAACACCAGUGGCGAAGGCGACUACCUGGCCUGUUUCUUGACGCUGAGGCGCGAAAGCUAGGGGAGCAAACGGG